rnacentral:lncRNA from 1 species
CUGGGAGCACUUUAAUUUCACUCUAGACAAUACCUCUUUAAUCAUGUUCUGAGGGAAUUUAUAAAUUCCCAGUAGAUGAAAGCUAGUUUAUUUUUCAAAUGGAGAUGUAGUCACUUUGAUUUGGGGUACUGGGAGAGAAGGGUGCAAUUUUCUUAUGAAACAAACGACUCCAGAUAUAAAGCCAAGUCAGACAGAGCCACUGGGAACUUGGUUCCAAUGGUCAUUAGACCAGCAUCAGCAGCAUCACCAGAGAGAGGUUGCAACUCACCUAGUUCUGUACUGGACUUGCCCUUUGAUGAUUUUCCAAAAUAUCUACCUGUUUUCAGACCUUAUGGGGUUGGUCAAUUGGAAGUCUCACCUGGUGGGAGGAUGCCCCGUUCUGUCUUCUCCAUCAGGACCAGCCUGGCUGUAUCC